rnacentral:rRNA from 1 species
AGGUGGUGCAUGGCUGUCGUCAGCUCGUGUCGUGAGAUGUUGGGUUAACUCCCGCAACGAGCGCAACCCCUGUCCUUAGUUGCCAGCACAUAAUGGUGGGGACUCUAAGGAGACUGCCUGGGAUAACCAGGAGGAAGGUGGGGAUGAUGUCAAGUCAGUAUGUCCCUUAUGUCCAGGGCUACACACGUGUUACAAUGGCCGGUACAAUGGGCUGCAAUCCCGCGAGGGCAAGCUAAUCCCAAAAAACCGGCCCCAGUUCAGAUUGGAGUCUGCAACUCGACUCCAUGAAGGAGGAAUCGCUAGUAAUCGCGCAUCAGCACGGCGCGGUGAAUACGUUCCCGGGUCUUUGUACACACCGCCCGUCAAG